rnacentral:rRNA from 1 species
CCCGGGGGGGUGGCCAGCGCCCGCCAGAGGACCAUCAAACUCCAGUCAGUAAACGAUGCAGUCUGAAAAACAUUUAAUAAACUAAAACUUUCAACAACGGAUCUCUUGGUUCUGGCAUCGAUGAAGAACGCAGCGAAAUGCGAUAAGUAAUGUGAAUUGCAGAAUUCAGUGAAUCAUCGAAUCUUUGAACGCACAUUGCGCCCUUUGGUAUUCCGAAGGGCAUGCCUGUUCGAGCGUCAUUACAACCCUCAAGCUCUGCUUGGUAUUGGGCACCGUCCUUUGCGGGCGCGCCUCAAAGACCUCGGCGGUGGCGUCUUGCCUCAAGCGUAGUAGAACAUACAUCUCGCUUCGGAGCGCAGGGCGUCGCCCGCCGGACGAACCUUCUGAACUUUUCUCAAGGUGACCUCGGAUCAGGUAGGAAGCCAAGA